rnacentral:rRNA from 1 species
GCGCCCGCCGGAGGAAACCCAACUCUUGAUUAUUAUGGCCUCUCUGAGUCUUCUGUACUGAAUAAGUCAAAACUUUCAACAACGGAUCUCUUGGUUCUGGCAUCGAUGAAGAACGCAGCGAAAUGCGAUAAGUAAUGUGAAUUGCAGAAUUCAGUGAAUCAUCGAAUCUUUGAACGCACAUUGCGCCCGCCAGUAUUCUGGCGGGCAUGCCUGUUCGAGCGUCAUUUCAACCAUCAAGCCCCAGGCUUGUGUUGGGGACCUGCGGCUGCCGCAGGCCCUGAAAACCAGUGGCGGGCUCGCUGUCACACCGGGCGUAGUAGAUUUUAUCUCGCUCAGGGCGUGCUGCGGGUUCCGGCCGUUAAAAGCCUUUUUUUACCCAAGGUUGACCUCGGAUCAGGUAGGAAUACCCGCUGAACUUAAGCAUAUCAAU